rnacentral:lncRNA from 1 species
CCACCCAUUCCAGUCCAUGCGAGUUCAUAUGGUUGUCCCUCGCUCGGCCCCGUCAGGUUCCGAGCCCACGACCACCCACACACGCCACGCGCAGAGAAAAAAAGAGAGAGAGAGAGAGCAGCGGUAGCAUUCCCCGAAAUUCGAAUUCCGCCCCUCUCUCUCUCCCCCGUCCGCUCCUCUCCCCCAAAUCCAGCCGGAUUCCGGC